CAAAUAGUCAAAUGUGCUUCCAUCAAAUUAACAAGCUUCUACAUAGUAAAGAAUACAAUGACUAGAGUGAAGAGACAAGAACAGAAAGGGAGUAAAUAUUUGCAAAACAUACGUUGAGAAGGGGUUAGUAAUAAGAACAUGUGAGAAACCCACUGAAGAGGAUACAAAGAGAGGUAUGCACCAUUAGUCACCUCUUGUGACACAACAAACCAGUUUUUAAAUGUAAACUGCAGACAUCCUGACCAAUACAGCAACAUAAGACAUUCAGGCCACUGGCUAGUAGCGACCAGUGAUGGGAUGACAGGAGGAACUGUUCAUAUACACCAUGACACCAACUCUUAAGAGAACAACUACUCUACUAGAAAUUCAUGUCUGGUGAAAUGGGGCCAGGUUCUUAUUCCUGUAUUUCCAAAUGGAACAAGAAGAACUGCCCUGCACAUCCUCUAGAAUCACACCUCAAGUGGUCCUUUGAUUCCAGCAGAGGGGUCUGUCCACAGGGCCAGAGCAGGAUAGGACCCUCUGUCUUCCCAGUGAAGCAAGAUCCCCAGAUGAGACUGAAGAGGAGACCAGGCCCAGGAGCUGGGAGGAAAAACAGGAGGACACAGAAUUCAGCUCAUGGCCUGCACAUCCUUGCAUCCAAAGCAUAUGUCUGGUCCCCAGCCUGGGGCUCCACUCACUGAGAGGACUAACACCUUCUGACACUGCCUGGACACAGGGCAGGAGGAUCAAUGCAGAAUCCACAGAGGAGUACUUGGCAAUCAGCAGGCUUUCUGUGCCACAGGAAGAAAGGUCAAGUUCAUUUCUCUACACAAGAACAGGAAAGCUGAUGAGGAACCUGUGCCAGCAAAUGCCCAAGGACAACUCAGCAAGGCUGAGCCAUCUCAUCAGCAAGAGCACCAGCUAUCAUCACAGGGGCAAUGAGACACAGCCUAAUGCCCAAGCUGGGAGACAAUAAAAGUGAAAAGAACUCUAUUGGGUGUGGGCACAG